rnacentral:piRNA from 1 species
UGCCAACUACACAACCAAUGUGGUGGCCA